rnacentral:rRNA from 1 species
CAUCGUUUUUUGUAAUAUUUAUAUAAAAUAUAACCUGCCCUAUGAAAAUUUAAAUGGCUGCGGUAUUUUGACCGUACAAAGGUAGCAUAAUAAUUAGUCUCUUAAUUAGAAACUGGAAUGAAUGGUUGGACGAGAAAAUUUCUGUCUUUAUUUAAUUUAUUAUAAUUUAAUUUUUAAGUUAAAAAGCUUAAAUAUUUUUAAAAGACGAGAAGACCCUAUAGAGUUUAAUAUUUAAUGAUUUUUAUUUAUUUAAGAAUUUAAUUUAUUAAUUUUGUAAAAUAUUUUAUUGGGGUGAUAGGAGGAUUUAAUAAACUCUUUUUAACUUGAAUUUAUUUAUUUAUAUACAUUUGAUCCAAUUAUUUUGAUUAUAAGAAUAAAUUACCUUAGGGAUAACAGCGUAAUCUUUUUAGAGAGUUCUUAUCGAUAAAAGGGAUUGCGACCUCGAUGUUGGAUUAAAAUUAAUUUUUGGUGUAGGUGCUUAAAAAUUAAGUCUGUUCGACUUUUAAAAUUUUACAUGAUCUGAGU